UUGGUACUCCCUCCGUCCGGAAAUACUUGUCGGAGAAAUGGUUAAAAAUGGAUGUAUCUAGAACUAAAACACGUCUAGAUACAUCCAUUUCUCUGACAAGUAUUUCCGGACGGAGGGAGUACUAU
rnacentral:pre_miRNA from 1 species